rnacentral:lncRNA from 10 species
CUUACCAUUUAUGAAACCAGAUUGCAAGUCUGUUUGAAUCCCCCAAAUGCCUGUGCUACAUAACUGUCUCCUUACUCUGUGCUCUUGCCCCAGGCAGAGUGGAAGUUGCCUUAUAAAGCUGCGACUUGGCCACAGUGUUUUCCCUUUCAGCAGGGAAACCGGAGUUCUCCCUGCUGUUGGGAGGUUCAAGAGCCACUCUGUGCAGAAAUGCCCAGAAAGAGUUAAGUGAGAUGCUCUGGGGUCACUACCAACCUUGCCUUUCACCCUACCUGUGGAUCUAUGACCCUGUCCUUCUCAGAACACCACUCAGUACUUCUGGGUUCCCCAAGAGGUGCCUCUUGAGAGUUUGUAGGAAACUGUGCUUUAGUAACUCAUGGUUUCUGCCCUCAGCUUCUCUUGCAUGGGGCCUUCCUGCUUGCUCCUCUGCUCACAAUGACAAGUGAGGACUCCCCUCCAUGCCUUUUGAUGCUGGUGCCCAUCACCCCGAUCACAUGAACGUCUAUGCCCAGGUCCCAUUUCCUGACAUUCCCAACAUCUCUACCUUCUCCGGGCCUAGGGCAGGGAUCACUCUUUCAGAAACAUGAGCGUAUGGAAGCCCCAGUGUGUUCCUUGAAGUCCCGAUGCGUGAUUUGUCCCCAUGCUGUGUCGCACUUGGUCAUCUGGACCCUGGGGUUGCCUGAGUGUCCCUGUUACAAGGCCCCUCCUGAAACCAGAUUGGUGUCUAUGAGGGUCAUCUGGGAAACCUACCUCUGGCAGAAUCGCUGUCCUGCCAGUUUCCUCUCCCCCUUACAAGGGACAUUUAUGCUUUCUCCCUCUACAAAACCUGCAUGCAAAUUAUCUGAUGGAAUUGACCCAUAGUGGGUGUUCUCCACUGGUUCAACACACCUGAAUUCCGGAUUCAAGAUGCAAUCACCACUACUGUUGUUGUGUAAGUAUUGCUAGAGAUGGCUGCAGAAUACCUGGGAAAGCUAGCUAAGCAGUGACUGGAGGAAGGCCCCAGCUCUUUGGAACGAACUUUCCAGCCGAGAAUGCUUUCCAAAAUGGGAACAAGAUCCCAACCCCUUAUCAGAAACUUUGGGGGCCGGAUGUGUUUCAGAAUUCAGAAGUUUUCAAAUUUUAAGAAGAGAAUACACUGCGUAUUCUGUGUAUUACAGGGGUCAGCAAAUUCACAGCCCAUAGGCCAAAUCUGGCCUGUUUUUGUAAAUAAAGUUUUAUUGCUA